UGAAAGCUAAGGGAGACCGCAGGAUGUUGUCCAAGGACUUUGCCAAGACUGGCUGGAAGAUCUAAAGAAAUACACAAAUGGAAGAUGAGAAGACAGACCAAAGUACUACUCCACCACCCAUGGAGUUCUACUCAUGUUGCCUUUGCUGCUCUCUUAUGCAGUGCCAGGCCUAAACAUAGGACCUCACAUAUAAUUUCUCUUCUCCUUGUUCUUGUCUUUCUCCCUGUCCUUACCUGUUCUUCCCCUUUUUCUUUUUCUUGUCCUUCUUUUCUCUCUUUUUCUUCCUUAUUUUCUUUCUUUCUCCUCCCCCUCUUCUUUUGUCAUAUCUCCUUUUUAAAAACACAAUGCUGGGACUUCUGGAGAAGAGGCUACUGGGCAGCAGCAGCUGUGUUUCUCUCCUCUUCUUUUCUGGGUCAACUAGGAAUACCAAAGGAGAUCAUCUGGGACUGCAACAAGGCAGGACUAAACAACUUCAGGAACCUACCAAAUC